UUACGGCCACAUCACGUUAAAUCACCGCUUCCCUUAUGAUCACCGAAGUUAAGCAACGUUGAGAUUGGUCGGUACGUAGAUAGGUGACCACUUGGGAAUACCAGGUGCUGUAA